AUUGAACGCUGGCGGCAUGCCUAACACAUGCAAGUCGAGCGGAUGAACGGAGCUUUCUCCUGGAUUCUGCUGCGGACGGGUGGGUGAUUCCCAGGAAUCUGCCUUGUCUUUGGGGAUAACGUCCCGUAACGGGCGCUGAUACCGCAUACGUCCUUAUUUUGAAAGUGAUGGAUCUUCGGACCUCACGCUUUCAGAUGAGCCUAAGUCGGAUUAGCUAGUUGGUUGGGUAAAGGCCUACCAAGGCGACGUUCCGUAGCUGGUCUGAGAGGAUGAUCAGUCACACUGGAACUGAGACACGGUCCAGACUCCUACGGGAGGCAGCAGUGGGGAAUAUUGGACAAUGGGCGAAAGCCUGAUCGAGCAAUGCCGCGUGUGUGAAGAAGGUCUUCGGAUUGUAAAGCACUGUAAGUUGGGAGGAAGGGAAGUAAGUUAAUCUCUUGAUGUCUUGACGGUACCAAAAGAAUAAGCCACGGCUAACUACGUG
rnacentral:rRNA from 1 species